rnacentral:lncRNA from 1 species
GCCUCAUGUCAAAGGGCUAGAAACUAAAAUUUGGCAGUCUAGGAUAACAGGAAGUUAUUGGAAAGGAUUUUUAAAAGCCCCAAAAGCCAGCAGUGACUGGUGGUUAUGGCUAGUAGAAUUUUCGAUAAUAAGGUAUAGAUAGUAAAUUACUUAUUGCGCUUCUAAGACCUUACUUAUGUGUAUUCUAUUAUCAUAUUCCGAGUUCUGCUUUUUCCCACAAGUUCAGUUACCAUGAAAUUGCAGAAAAUUAAACUAUAGAACAAAUCUAAAGCCAAAGUUCUUUUAGCUAUCAACCAAAACCCUUUCACACUUAAAUACCUUUACUGCAAAGAUUCAAGAAGCCAAUAGAAUUAGAGCAAUCAACCACCUAUCCUUGUAUGACUUUUGAAUGUUCUGUUGUUAGAAUCAAAAAAUAAGGAAAAAACAAAAGGGAGACGAUUCUUUUUUGUGCAUUCCAGGUAACAAUAUGCCUCGAGGGAGACGAUUUAGAGAUGUGGAGUUCCAACAUUCUCAAGUGGGAUCUACUUCUGAGCAGUCCCUGCAGUCCCAGUAGCCAUGUGAGCACCAGCAGCACGAGUCAGGAUCUCAGCACGAGCCUCCUGCUGAUUGUCCGGAGGAUGAGCUUCGGAUCCAGGGUAAUUCGAUUUAAAGUUCAUAUUUUAUGUUCAUAUUUGUCUUCAACUUUUUCAGACUUUUUAAUUUUAAUAGAUUGGACUAAGGGAUGGUGAGGUACGAGACNNNNNNNNNNNNNNNNNNNNGGUUCUUCGUAAUCUUUCUGGUAUUUUGUUUUUGUGGCUAUUAAUUAAUCAGUUAUGUUCUUGUUUUUUUUUUGUCUAUUUUGGGGUAAAUUUUGCGCAGUAAGAAUUCCCCUUAUUUUUUUUGUUCAAGUGAAGUGGAUUGUUUUAUGCGUGCCUUCUGUCUGAUAGUUGUGAUGAGAUUGGCUCAAGUUUAGGAUAUUUUUUUAAUGGAAAUACGUAGUUAGUUGAUUACAUGCAUAUGCUGAAGGUGAUGCCUUGCUUUGAUUGUGGAUUGUGUCUUUGUGUUCUGCUACCUUUUCAUGAAGUGCUAUUAUUUUUUAAUAUGGAAAGUUGGGGCAUGGUGUUCUUAUGGGUCACUUGCCGACAUGAGUGCUGUAAACCU